rnacentral:rRNA from 1 species
CCUACGGGAGGCAGCAGUCGAGAAUAAUUCACAAUGGGGGAAACGCUGAUGGUGCGACGCCGCGUGGGGGAAUGAAGGUCUUCGGAUUGUAAACCUCUGUCAUGUGGGAGCAAAUUAAAAAGAUAGUACCACAAGAGGAAGAGACGGCUAACUAUGUUCCAGCAGCCGCGGUAAUUCAGAGGUGUAAAGCGGUGUUCGGGAUCACUGGGCGUAAAGAGUGCGUCGGCUGGUUGUGAAGUCGGGUGUGAAAGUCGCGGGCUUAACCCGCGGACGGCACAUGAUACUGCGAGACUAGAGUAAUGGAGGGGGAAGCGGAAUGCGUGGUGUAGCAGUGAAAUGCGUAGAUAUCGAGAGGAACACUGGUGGCGAAGGCGGGUUCCUGGACAUUAACUGACGCUGAGGCACGAAGGCGAGGGGAGCGAAAGGGAUUAGAUACCCGAGUAGUC